GCUGCGAUCAUCUGGGAAUCGAUCACGCCGCAAUGGAACUAUCGAUGGGAAUGUCCGACGAUUUCGAGCACGCUAUCGAUUUGGGAAGCAGCAAUGUUCGUGUGGGAAGCUCGAUCUUCGGCCACAGGAACUACAACGACAAAUGAAUUAUAUGUAAUAAACGUUGUACAUAACUGUUGAAUUCGUUUGUUUCCAAUUCCUUGAUUAUUUUGGGUGAUGAUUGGAGGAAAGAAAAGAUUGAUUUUGUAAUAAAAUUAAUGAUUUAUUUGAAAAUAGAGGCGCCGCGUGCUGUUGUUGUUGCGGCGUGACGCUGUAUAACAUUAUAUAUAUGAAGUAUGAUCAACUCUUGCUUCGUGAAAUGUGCUUUUGUUUAGCG